rnacentral:rRNA from 1 species
AUUGAACGCUGGCGGCAGGCUUAACACAUGCAAGUCGAGCGGGGGAGGUUGCUUCGGUAACUGACCUAGCGGCGGACGGGUGAGUAAUGCUUAGGAAUCCGCCUAUUAGUGGGGGACAACAUUCCGAAAGGGAUGCUAAUACCGCAUACGCCCUACGGGGGAAAGCAGGGGAUCUUCGGACCUUGCGCUAAUAGAUGAGCCUAAGUCGGAUUAGCUAGUUGGUGGGGUAAAGGCCUACCAAGGCGACGAUCUGUAGCGGGUCUGAGAGGAUGAUCCGCCACACUGGGACUGAGACACGGCCCAGACUCCUACGGGAGGCAGCAGUGGGGAAUAGUGGACAAUGGGCGGAAGCCUGAUCCAGCCAUGCCGCGUGUGUGAAGAAGGCCUUUUGGUUGUAAAGCACUUUAAGCGAGGAGGAGGCUCUUAAGGUUAAUACCCUUGAUGAGUGGACGUUACUCGCAGAAUAAGCACCGGCUAACUCUGUGCCUGCCGCCGCGGUAACAC